rnacentral:rRNA from 1 species
CCUACGGGGGGCAGCAGUGGGGGAUAUUGCACAAUGGGGGGAACCCUGAUGCAGCGACGCCGCGUGGGUGAAGAAGCGCCUCGGCGCGUAAAGCCCUGUCAGCAGGGAAGAAAAUGACGGUACCUGAAGAAGAAGCCCCGGCUAACUACGUGCCAGCAGCCGCGGUAAUACGUAGGGGGCAAGCGUUAUCCGGAUUUACUGGGUGGAAAGGGGGCGCAGACGGCGAUGCAAGCCAGGAGGGAAAGCCCGGGGCCCAACCCCGGGACUGCUCUUGGAACUGCGUGGCUGGAGUGCAGGAGGGGCAGGCGGAAGGCCUGGUGUAGCGGUGAAAUGCGUAGAUAUCAGGAGGAACACCGGCGGCGAAGGCGGCCUGCUGGACCGCGACUGACGUUGAGGCUCGAAAGCGUGGGGAGCGAACAGGAUUAGAUACCCGAGUAGUC